AUAAGGGAAUCUUUUGAGAUAUUCGAUAUAGAUGGGUCUGGUUAGUAUGAUCAAUCCCAGUUAUAAGUUUGUGUUACUUUUAAUUGGCUAACUAAGCAUUGUUUUUUUCGACUUGCUCAAGCUACUACUGAUUCCAAAGAGCUUGAUGCUACCUAUGAGGAUGUCGGUGUUCAAAAUGCUUGAUUUUGAAUAUAGUGGUCGUGAUUAAAAAAAAAAAAACGUUGUUGAAAUUUUUCGGAUGCAAAGACUGCUACAAAUUGAAUGGUCAGAGUCAUUUUUGGCUUCCAUACAUUUUAUGGAAAGGAGGACAUGCUACAAGGAUAUGUUGGAUUAUUUAAAUUGUCUCAGCCUAAUUAUUUUCUUCUCCCUUCAGGAACCCAUGCAGUAUCACUGACAGGCUGACAUAUAACAAGAGAGUAUGGAUCAAUUCUCCCUAAUCGUUUCAUUUUCAAGUUCAGGUGACACUUGUAUGAUUCAAGUUGAAACAUCUAAGCAUACUUAGAUUUGCUGGAGGGCUUAUUUGUUACUGCGGUGAGCCUCCGUUUUGUAAGAGAAGCUGUGCGGGAGCGACGCUGCGAGGAUAAUUGCACGGUCAUUGUUACUGUUUACAAGCACCGCGUGUGAUUGGUAUGAAAACUUUACUUUCAAUUUUAAAGGACCCUUUGUACUUGUUAAUUCAUAACUCGUAGGAGGCAGAGAUUAACCUACCCUUGUUUGGUGCUUUGCUCGUAUCCUGUUUUUUAUUUUUUUGUUUGUAGUGACUGUAAUAUAAAUAAUUGAGAACAUUAUCAGCAUUAAAGCGAUAACAGAUCUCAAAUGAUGGGCACACAUAUAGCAAAGGAGGAUCCGAGUGUAUGAAAAGAGUGACUGCAAAGUCUGCAAUGUGACUUAGGCUAGCUCAGGAAGACCUUCAUCCGUACUUGCAUUUGUAGAGCCUUCUGCUAAACCACAUCUCAAGUCAUAUAUGGAGGUAUAAUUGAUUUGCUUCGCGGAGCCGUAAAAGUAAACAAGGCAAGGAUCGAUAUAGUCAUCUGCCUAAUAAGUAUAGUCAUUGAUGGACUACUUUAUUAUUAAGAUACCGAUAGUCAGGUUAUUGUAACGAAAUAAUGGUCUAAACUGCUAUGAUUGUUGUAAUGGUCUAAAGUGCACAAUUUUUGGUUUAUACCAGAUACACUUUUUAAAUGUAACCUGGGUACAAUUUUAUUGAAAUACAAAGGUUUCUUUUCU